rnacentral:sRNA from 1 species
CUGACGGCCCUGGAGACUGAGGGCCUCUGUUUAUUCACAGAACAGAUGCAGCCCAGGCAGACUUCCCUGCGCUGCCUGGCCAGCGUGCCGAACACCUGACCUGGAGCACCUCCAGCCCGGAGAAAUUUAGUAUUUUGAACCCAUCCAACGCUGGCCUCU